rnacentral:rRNA from 1 species
GACGAACGCUGGCGGCGUGCUUAAUACAUGCAAGUCAUAGGGGCUAAUUUCCUUCGGGAGAUUGGUCACUGGCGCACGGGUGCGUAACGCGUAAGUUAUCUGCCCUUGGGUCUGGCAUAACGUCGGGAAACCGGCGCUAAUUCCAGAUGAUAUCGUAAGAUCAAAGCCUUCGGGCGCCCAAGGAUGAGCUUGCGUCUGAUUAGCUUGUUGGCGGGGUAAUGGCCCACCAAGGCAACGAUCAGUAGCCGGUCUGAGAGGAUGAUCGGCCACAUUGGGACUGAGACACGGCCCAGACUCCUACGGGAGGCAGCAGUAAGGAAUAUUGCGCAAUGGACGAAAGUCUGACGCAGCAACGCCGCGUGCAGGAUGAAGGCCCUUUGGGUUGUAAACUGCUGUAGAAAGGGAAUAAUAGUUUGCCACGGGUGAACUUGAAGGUACCUUUAAAGUAAGCGCCGGCUAACUACGUGCCAGCAGCCGCGGUAAAUCGU